CUCUGUUGGUGUGUCUCUGUUGACUCUCACAGGACUGGUCUGUCUCUGUUAGUGUGUCUCUGUUGACUGUCACAGGACUGGACUGUCUCUGUUGGUGUGUCUCUGUCACAGGACUAGUCUGUCUCUGUUGGAGUGUCUCUGUUGACUGUCACAGGACUGGUCUGUCUCUGUUGGUGUGUCUCUGUUGACUCUCACAGGACUGGUCUGUCUCUGUUAGUGUGUCUCUGUUGACUGUCACAGGACUGGACUGUCUCUGUUGGUGUGUCUCUGUCACAGGACUAGUCUGUCUCUGUUGGAGUGUCUCUGUUGACUGUCACAGGACUGGUCUGUCUCUGUUGGUGUGUCUCUGUUGACUCUCACAGGACUGGUCUGUCUCUGUUGGUGUGUCUCUGUCACAGGACUAGUCUGUCUCUGUUGGAGUGUCUCUGUUGACUGUCACAGGACUGGUCUGUCUCUGUUGGUGUGUCUCUGUCACAGGACUAGUCUGUCUCUGUUGGAGUGUCUCUGUUGACUGUCACAGGACUGGUCUGUCUCUGUUGGUGUGUCUCUGUUGACUCUCACAGGACUGGUCUGUCUCUGUUAGUGUGUCUCUGUUGACUGUCACAGGACUGGACUGUCUCUGUUGGUGUGUCUCUGUCACAGGACUAGUCUGUCUCUGUUGGAGUGUCUCUGUUGACUGUUACAGGACUUGUCUGUCUCUGUUGGUGUGUCUCUGUUGACUGUCACAGGACUGGUCUGUCUCUGUAGGUGUGUCUCUGUUGACUGUCACAGGACUGGUCUGUCUCUGUUGGUGUGUGUCUGUUGAUUGUCACAGGACUAGUCUGUCUCUGUUGGAGUGUCUCUGUUGACUGUCACAGGACUGGUCUAUCUCUGUUGGUGUGUCUCUGUUGACUGUCACAGGACUGGUCUGUCUCUGUUGGUGUGUCUCUGUUGACUGUCACAGGACUGGUCUGUCUCUGUUGGUGUGUCUCUGUUGAUUGUCACAGGACUAGUCUGUCUCUGUUGGAGUGUCUCUGUUGACUGUCACAGGACUGGUCUAUCUCUGUUGGUGUGUCUCUGUUGACUGUCACAGGACUGGUCUGUCUCUGUUAGUGUGUCUCUGUUGACUGUCACAGGACUGGACUGUCUCUGUUGGUGUGUCUCUGUCACAGGACUAGUCUGUCUCUGUUGGAGUGUCUCUGUUGACUGUCACAGGACUGGUCUGUCUCUGUUGACUGUCACAGGACUGGUGUGUCUCUGUUGGUGUGUCUCUGUCACAGGACUGGUCUGUCUCUGUUGACUGUCACAGGACUGGUGUGUCUCUGUUGGUGUGUGUCUGUUGGUGUGUCUCUGUCACAGGACUGGUCUGUCUCUGUUGGUGUGUCUCUGUUGACUGUCACAGUACUGGUCUGUCUCUGUUGGGUAUGUCUCUGUUGACUGUCACAGGACUGGUCUGUCUCUGUUGGUGUGUCUCUGUUGACUGUCACAGGACUGGUCUGUCUCUGUUGGUGUGUGUCUGUUGACUGUCACAGGACUGGUCUGUCUCUGUUGGUGUGUGUCUGUUGACUGUCACAGGACUGGUCUGUCUCUGUUGGUGUGUCUCUGUUGACUGUCACAGGACUUGUCUGUCUCUGUAGGUGUGUGUCUGUUGACUGUCACAGGACUGGUCUGUCUCUGUUGGUGUGUCUCUGUUGACUGUCACAGGACUGGUCUGUCUCUGUUGGUGUGUCUCUGUUGACUGUCACACGACUGGUCUGUCUCUGUUGGUGUGUGUCUGUUGACUGUCACAGGACUGGUCUGUCUCUGUUGGUGUGUGUCUGUUGACUGUCACAGGACUGGUCUGUCUCUGUUGGUGUGUCUCUGUUGACUCUCACAGGACUGGUCUGUCUCUGUUGGUGUGUGUCUGUUGACUGUCACAGGACUGGUCUGUCUCUGUUGGUGUGUGUCUGUUGACUGUCACAGGACUGGUCUGUCUCUGUUGGUGUGUCUCUGUUGACUCUCACAGGACUUGUCUGUCUCUGUUGGUGUGUGUCUGUUGACUGUCACAGGACUGGUCUGUCUCUGUUGGUGUGUCUCUGUUGACUCUCACAGGACUUGUCUGUCUCUGUUGGUGUGUGUCUGUUGACUGUCACAGGACUGGUCUGUCUCUGUUGGUGUGUCUCUGUUGACUCUCACAGGACUUGUCUGUCUCUGUUGGUGUGUGUCUGUUGGUGUGUGUCUGUUGGUGUGUGUCUGUUGACUGUCACAGGACUUGUGUGUUGACAGUAAGAUUUAUAAUGUGAUGUUGCUGAUGUUUCUG